GAAGUCGGCCUGUGGCCGGCCAUGUUCAUGAGGGCGCGUCCCUUGGCACCCCUGUAGCCGCUAUGUUUCCCACGCCCGUGGCAGGCCUGAGAGAUUAUGUUUGCGGGGGGUGCUUUUUUUGUAGCUUCUGUGUUCGCCAUAUUUGAAAGGGGCAGACGGCCAUGUUCGUGAACGGCGCUUCCCUUGGUGCACCUGUGGCCGCCAUGUUUGAGCGAGGACCCCGUGGCAGGCCAGGACCGUUUCUCCGGUGCUAUCCCAGAGCAUGGCGCAUCCACUCAUUCACUCAAGGGAAAGGCCUGAAAGUAAAAUUGUAUCAACAUUAGGUUUGGCUAAUGUUGCCAUUAGGCAAACCUAAUUUUAAUGAAGCCAGGAGGUUCUCGUUUUGGGCCUUGACUGGACAGGUUUGAGCUAGAAACCACUUGAAGUAUUGAUCAUCCAUCUGAUCAUCAAGUUUUUUUUUUUUUUUGAGUUGGAGUCUCACUCUGUUGCUCACGCUGGAGUGCAGUGGCACGAUCUCAGCUCCCUGCAACCUCCACCUCCCGGGUUCUCCUGCCUCAGCCUUCCAAGUAGCUGGGAUUAUAAGCGUGUGCCACCAUGCCUGGCUACUUUUUUAUAUUUUCGGUUGAGAUGGGGUUUCACCGCGUGGCCAGGCUGGUCUCAAACUCCUGACCUCAAGUGAUCCGCCUGCCUCGGCCUCCCAAAGUGCUGGGAUUACAGGCGUGAGCCGCCACUCCCAGCUUGUUCAUCCAGUUUUUAUUGAGCAUCUAUUAUGUGCCGAUAUUGAGGUAGACUCUGGGAGUCACAGCAGUGAAUGCAGCUGCCUGGAUGCCUCGUGAGGGCCGGAGCCUCACUGGGGAGAUGGACAUGAACAGCAAAUGCACAGCGAGGAAAGCCAGGGGUCUGUGCGGGGAUGCUGCAGGACACGAGAACCAGCCAAGACCUAUGGCCCCUGCAGCCACCGAGGGCUCGAGAGCGCCCCUGUGGACUUGGCUGGGCCCUUCAUGGUGACAUCCAGGAAUGCGGCUGAGCGCGGGUGUUGACCUCGCUGUUUGCUGGAAUGUUUGGGUUCUUGGACCAUGUCAGUGACGGCUGUGUCACCAUGGCCUUGCUAUCCCCAGGAAAACCUAACAUGCACCCCGCGCCUGUCCUCUGGGACUCCCAUCCUCCUCCUUUGUCUGACCCCUGAGAGGCUUACCGUUUCCCCAGGGCAGCCCCGGCUGUGGCCCUCGGCCCUGCUCCAGGCGGCCAUGUCAGUGUCCUCCCUCGGCGCUCCCAACACCCUACCUGGCUCUGCGAUGGCCACCCUGGACUCCUAAACACCCCAGAAAGGGAAGAGAUUUAAGAGGAACCUUGAUUCCUGCCAUUCUGCGCAGUCGUGGGUCCCUCCUCCACCUGGGGCCCUCAAGGGGAUUUCUGUCCGCACUCCCAGCCAGCGACCCCUCCCAGUUCCUGCAGCUGGAGCGGCCCUCUCUCCUGAACAUUCGGGCACCUGCGUCUGUCACUGCAGCCAGAGGGCUGGAGUGUCUUCGGUCAACUCGCCAUCCCUGCCACGGCUGGAGGCCACAUGUCCCAGAACCUACCUUGCUGGGAUGGGGGUUGGGGUGGCAGAGGCUGAACGCGUGUGAGGUUUGGGGGAGGACAAGCGGAGCGGGGAUGUGUGGGAGGUCCUGGUGUCCACCGUGAGGAUGGUCACACCCCAUAGCUUUGUUGAUGCUGUGGCUGUAGCAGGCCCAGUGGCUCCGCUGAGCCUCCCUAGCACCAGUGCCCAGUGAAGUGUGGGGGGCUGGACAUAGGUGGCCUCAGUUCCUGGGACUCCCCCAAAGCUCUGGUUUCCCCCCUGCUCCCAGGCUUCAGGUGGACGAGUUAGUGACCACCCCCACUCCAGACCUCCCUCCCCUAGCCACCCCCACAGUUAUAAAAACCUUCAUUCUCAUAUGGAA
rnacentral:lncRNA from 10 species